rnacentral:lncRNA from 1 species
UGAAGAUAAAAUUGCAGGUCGAAUGCAUUCAUUCAAUGCAUAGGAUAUAUGACAUGGUGUCAUGUCCAACGAUAGUAAAUUUAAUGAAAUGUAUGCAGUGCAAUGACUUCAUCUGUCAGAAAGGAAAGAUCUCUCAUCACUCAUCAAGAGAGAUUUAAUACGUACGUACGUACGUCGCCCAACUUCAAUUCAUAAUCGCCGGACACACGCAGCAUCGUUGGAUUUGCAGCAAGUACACGUCCAUACACGCACACUUCGAUCGUUUCAAUCUUUCAGAAAAAUAACGCCUCUACGUUCGUCCAUGAACCAGAACUGUUUCAACUUCUUC